CGCCGCCUCCCUUAUUUCUUUCUUCGUGCUUUCUUCCUCCGAGCUCACCGACCCCUCGCCCUUCGCCCGAUUUCUAUCGACUCAACAUCGCGACGGCGACUCCGCACCCGAGCUCACGGCAACGCAUAGUUCGCCACUCGCCCAAGACUCCCAACCCUCUACCCUGGUCUACAGCAUUACCGGAGGCCCUCCUCUCUGGAUUUCUGCUUCGUGCGACGACCGUCCGGUAGGAGGAGCAGAUUUGAAGAUUCGGAGACACAGAGGGUUGAAUUGCCUGUUCCGGAGGUUAAGGGUAGCAAGGAUUGGUACUCCCAGCAGCUGAGUCGAGCUGAUCGAGUCGGACUCAUCUCCGACGAUCUUGGGGGUUCCGACAUCAAGGCUCGCCCAAGAUCUUCAACAACGAGUUAUCACCGACGAGCCUCCUCGGCAAUGGAUUCCUGGCUUCGAGUCAUUAGCCCUGUAGAGGAUCUAUUGUUGAUCUGUGGCAGCAGACCUCACCAGCGAGCGAUUUCCGGCGAUUUCAUUAUUCUGGCAGAGAGCUAACAGAAGCAAAUUUGGUCCUAAGGUAAGAUCUUGGAAUUUAGAUA